UUUCAAGCCACAGGCGAUGAUUUUGACUUUUAAAAACAUAGUACAAUUGCAAUUACUUCUUUUGCAGCAAACGAUUUUUUAUUACCGCUUACCAAAAUCGUCUAAAAAAUGUGCGAACAGUCUCUGUAUUUACAGGUAUUCUGAGAGAUGACCAUUAUUUCAAAGUUUCCUCCAAUAUAAAAAGCUGAAAAAUCUUUAUCUAAUUCAGUCUUUCUGAACACUUUUAUCCUGGAGAAAACUUUAAAAAAAACCUUAACGGAAACUUCACAGCAUCUUUCGAAGAACCCAUCCGCGAAAAAAUAUUAAAAAUAUCGCUCGAAGAGCCCUGGGCUUCUGCAGAACCUCGGAUUAGAAAAUAUAAUCUAGUACCAGUUCCAGCUCUUAUCGAGCAAAAAAAUUCCACUGGAAAUGCAGGAAUGGGAGGGAGGGAUUUCAGGGUGGUCCGAAACGAACCAGUAUGUGAUUUAUCUGUAUAACUGUUGACUCAAAAGUGCGGCUGAUAACACUUAUCGCCAAAUGGAUACAUAAAAAUGACACUGAGAAGAAAUCGCGCAGCAAAUAAGCUCUUGUUGAUAAACAAAAGUGGCAUCAAAAGGUUAGACAAGAUAGUACUUGCUUUCUGUAGUCGUAGUUCUGGCGGUUGAAGCGAUCACGUUUAGUGAUUGCAGCAGAGGAAGUUUCAGAAUCCCAUGACUUAUCAGAUAAAAUGCUUAUAGAUGUUAGAUGUAAGAUUGUUCAGUAAGUGUCGCAAGGGAAACGAAUUCUGUUGUGGACACCACGUGACUUUUUUUUUUUUUUUUUUUUUUUUUGCUGCAUUUCAUUUAAACUCAUUUCUUCGAAUUGUUGUAACUUGACUUCCCAAUCCCUCAGUGCUAGUUGAAAAUGACAUAAAAAAUUUCAAAUAUUUGAAAUAUCCUGGUGAAUUUUUGCCAUAAGGAAAUCAUAUGUGAUUUUCCAGCCACAUCAAGAACUUAAAAAAAAAAAAUGUUAGAGAACCACAAGGAGAGACUUCGAAGGUCAGCUGUCGUCUGCGUACCACAGAUGUAGAAACACUGUCUUAAUACGCUGAUUAUUCACGAGGCCUGUAAAACUACAUUUUCUGAAGUACAGACAAAAUUCAAUAACUGAUGUACAAUAUGGAGAUUUUUAGUAUGAAGCAGUUUCGCUUAAUUCCAAACUAAGAAAAUAAAAGGU